rnacentral:misc_RNA from 1 species
GAGCAAUUCUCAGAGAAGUAGGAGCAAUAGCCUCUCUCUGCAUCUCAGUUGAAGCCGUGUUCAAAGCAGUGAAUAUGUCAUAUAAAGCACAUACCACACAUGGAUCACCCACAUGAUCAUGUUCUGAUGAUGAUCUUCGCAAAAAAUCGUCUCGAAAUUGUCUUAGAUGCCACAAUGACUGUAUAAUGACAUUUAGAAAGCAAUUGUAUUCUCCAACUUCAUUCUUUAGCCCAGUGCCAUAUACAUCAUCCAUUUCUUUGACAUUUCCAAAACUAAUUUCAUUACUCAAAUCGCCUGUUUCAGAUAUCAUCCGCUGUCUCCCUGAACUUGCCAUCAAGGGAAAUUUCUGAUGUGCGUGGAAUGCAUCGAGACUUUGGCGUACAGCUCUCUUAAGGUCAGCUUGGAACCUUUCUUCAUCAUCCUCCUCCACAUGUAGCUGUCUCAAUGUCUUCGUUCCACUAUCUCUGGUACCAUUAUUUUCGUGUGAAGAAUCCAGAGCUUUUGAUUCACUAACUUGUGUAUUUUCCCUUUCAGAAGAACCAGAUUGAUAAUUCCCCUCACUAAAUUUAGACGAAUCUUUCGGGCGCCUGCCUUUUCUUCCAGAUCGCUUAUCAGACAUCAAUAUACCAUCCUCUGGAGUUCCUUUGUUUGACAAUCCAUCUCUUUGUGACAUUCUUUCUGGAAAGUUCUUUGAAAGACCUUCUACACUGUUCAAUAGUACAUUGUUCUUCUCACUUCUCUUCCAUUGCUCGUUGACUUUCUGAUCAAUAUCACAAC